rnacentral:rRNA from 1 species
UACAGAGGUGCCGAGCGUUAGGCGGAAUCACUGGGCUUAAAGCGUGUGUAGGCGGGUUUCUAAGUACCUUGUGAAAUCCCACGGCUCAACCGUGGAACUGCUGGGUAUACUGGGAAUCUUGAGCCACUUAGGGGCAACCGGAACAAAUGGUGGAGCGGUGAAAUGCGUAGAUAUCGUUUGGAACGCCAAUGGUGAAAACAGGUUGCUGGGAGUGCGCUGACGCUGAGACGCGAAAGCGUGGGGAGCGAACAGG